rnacentral:rRNA from 1 species
AUUGAACGCUGGCGGCAGGCCUAACACAUGCAAGUCGAGCGAGAAAGGUCUUCGGACUGAGUACAGCGGCGGACGGGUGAGUAAAGCGUAGGAAUCUACCUGGUAGUGGGGGAUAACUUGGGGAAACUCAAACUAAUACCGCAUACGCCCUACGGGGAAAGGCGGGGGACCGUUCGGGCCGUCGCGCUAUCAGAUGAGCCUGCGUAGGAUUAGCUAGUUGGUAGGGUAACGGCUUACCAAGGCUACGAUGUCUAGGGGUCCUGAGAGGGUGAUCCCCCACAUUGGUACUGAGACACGGACCAGACUCCUACGGGAGGCAGCAGUGAGGAAUAUUGGACAAUGGGCGGGAGCCUGAUCCAGCCAUGCCGCGUGCAGGAAGACUGCCCUAUGGGUUGUAAACUGCUUUUGUACGGGAAGAAACACCCCCUCGUGAGGGGGCUUGACGGUACCGUAAGAAUAAGGAUCGGCUAACUCCGUG